rnacentral:rRNA from 1 species
UUGAACGCUGGCGGCAUGCCUUACACAUGCAAGUCGAACGGCAGCACGGGAGCAAUCCUGGUGGCGAGUGGCGAACGGGUGAGUAAUAUAUCGGAACGUGCCCAGUCGUGGGGGAUAACGUAGCGAAAGCUACGCUAAUACCGCAUACGAUCUAUGGAUGAAAGCGGGGGAUCGCAAGACCUCGCGCGAUUGGAGCGGCCGAUAUCAGAUUAGGUAGUUGGUGAGGUAAAGGCUCACCAAGCCGACGAUCUGUAGCUGGUCUGAGAGGACGACCAGCCACACUGGGACUGAGACACGGCCCAGACUCCUACGGGAGGCAGCAGUGGGGAAUUUUGGACAAUGGGCGCAAGCCUGAUCCAGCAAUGCCGCGUGCAGGAUGAAGGCCUUCGGGUUGUAAACUGCUUUUGUACGGAGCGAAAAGGCUUCCACUAAUACUGGGGGCUCAUGACGGUACCGUAAGAAUAAGCACCGGCUAACUACGU